CCAGUGUGGCAUAGUGGUUUGAGUGUUGGACUAUGAAUCUGGAGAUCAGGGUUUGAAUCCUCACCUGGA
rnacentral:tRNA from 1 species